rnacentral:rRNA from 1 species
GCUUGUCUCAAAGAUUAAGCCAUGCAUGUCUAAGUAUAAAUAUCUAUACUGUGAAACUGCGUAUGGCUCAUUAAAUCAGUUAUAGUUUAUUUGAUGAUACCCCACUACAUGGAUAACCGUAGUAAUUCUAGAGCUAAUACAUGCGUCAAAUCCCGACUUUUUGGAAGGGAUGUAUUUAUUAGAUUUCAAUCAACACUUUUUGCUGACUCAUGAUAACUUAGCGGAUCGCAGAGGCCUCGCGCCGGCGACAAAUCAUUCAAGUUUCUGCCCUAUCAGCUUUCGAUGGUAGUGUAUUGGACUACCAUGGCAUUCACGGGUAACGGAGGAUUAGGGUUCGAUUCCGGAGAGGGAGCCUGAGAAAUGGCUACCACAUCCAAGGAAGGCAGCAGG